rnacentral:lncRNA from 8 species
AAUUAUUUUAUACGUUUUUCAGUCCUCCUAGAAUAGCGCUAAAGUAGGUUUUAUAGAUUGUAUCAACAAUAGGCUUCCGUCAAUGGAAUGAUAGAAAUGGCUUAGAAAUGAACCGGACCAAUGAGUGUGCGGUGGGCGCGUCCUCCUGCCUCUGCUGCUGAAAACAGCAUGUUCAGAAGCGCCAGGCUCGCACGGAGCGGAGAGGAGAGGAGUGUAUAAAUAUCAGAGUGCCUCUUCUCUCCGCUAUACCAGACCUGACACAUGACCUAGUUGUCCCUGUCACAUCUCCUGUGUGUCCUCACCAAGACCGCACUUCCCGAAGGAGUCGACUAGACAACGGUUGGUUUAUUCUACAGGAAGACAGUGGGAACAAGAGUGGAUCCAGCCCGCUUGACUGUGAUGACAAGGACUAA